UUCUUCGGGGCAGGGUGAAAUUCCCUACCGGCGGUAAAGUCCGCGACCCGCUUUGGCGGCUGAUAUGGUGAGAUUCCAUAACCGACAGUAAAGUCUGGACGAGAGAAGAA
rnacentral:ncRNA from 1 species